rnacentral:lncRNA from 1 species
GUCCAGGGGCUACACUGAGAACAAGGGUUAGCAGUCAGGAGCGGUGCUGUCUCAGAACAGGAAGUGGUAGGAUGCAAUUUACUUUGCCUCCACUAGAACAAUUCAAGUUUUAGAAAUUUAUAACUCCUUCCCCAGUCUGACCUUCAGUGGCAGAAAUGGUGUAAAACAUGCAGGUAUUUCACACUACAAGAACACCGAAAGUAUUCAAAGUAUUUCACACACGUUUGAGUGGGGUAACCACAGCCAGUUGUCUUAUAAAGGAACUGAGCCAGGAGUACACUACAGGCUCCACAUUUCAGUGGGGCAAGAUUUUGCUCAAGAGUUGACGAGCCAAGUGUGCUUACUGUGGCUGAUGCUUCCCUUUCAGAGACUGGGCCCACCAAACACCCUUCAUCUGCUGGUGCGGGAUGUAAAGAAGGUGAGCCCAUUUGCCCCCUCUCAGCCCUCUGCCAGCAUCCAUCACUAAAGUAAUUCUUAAAGAUAAUCUUCUGUUUUUAAGAUAUUUUAUCUUCGGAUUUAGGAUGUAGGGAAUAAUGAUUUCAUCUGUUCAUAGUAAGAGUUUACUUAUAACCUCAAAGAGCAGAACAAAGGGCCAGGGACAUAGAUGGCUGUAAAGUGCUGGAAAGCGUGAGAACUGAAGUUGGGAUUUCUGGAAUCAAGUAAAUGCUAGGUGGGGUCUUAUGCGAUGACUCCGCAGGUGAAGGUGGUUGCUGAUGAGUUUGAUUGCCUGAGUCUCAUCUCUGGGACUCAUAUGGUAGAAGAAGAGAGCUGAUUCCUACAGAUUUUUCUCUGACCUCAACAGGUGAACUGUGGUGUGCGUGCUCAGGCGCACACGCACACAUACACACACACACUUGCUCUUUCUCUCUCCCUCUCCAUAUACAUUUACAUAUGCAUGUACAUAUACAUAUCAUUUUUAAAUCUAGUCUGGAUGGGUAUGAUACCUGCCCCCUCCAUAACUGUAGCCUGCCAGAGGUAGAGACAGGGAAUCCCUGAAGUCAGCUGGCAAGCCCCAGGUUCAUUGCAGGCUCUACUUCAGUAUAUAAGAUAAAGAGAAGUUGAAGAAGACACCAGAAAUCAAUCUUAGAUCUCCAUACACAUGUGCAUACAUGCACAAACACAGAUACAUAUAUGCAUAUCAAAAACCACAUUCAGAUGAUAAACAAAAAUAAAACUUGAAAUGGUGGGUGGGCGAGGGGGCUAGAAUAAACUUUGUCACAGCCUAGGAACGCACUGACAAUUGCUUGGUUAUAGUAGUUUUAGCACCAAGGUGACCUCAGAAGUGUCAACAGGAGGCUCCCCAGGAAGUCUGUAUGUAUGUCCUAUGGACUGCAUCAGAGGUUCUCUUAGCCUUUGCAAUCUCUUAGGGAAGCUGCUCUCCUCACUCUCCAGGGCUCCCCACUAUGGACAGACUGUGUUCCUGUGGGGUUUCCUUUCUCAGUCCUACCCUGGCAUCUCUUGUGUCCUGCCAUCACAAGUUAGAGAUGAGAUUAGAUUCUCACAGGAGCAACCCGUCUCCCUAGAAUGAGGGAAUGGGACUCCUGGACAGCCUGGUUACAUUUUGUAUCGAUAAUCAGUUCUAAGAAUAUGAAAAAAAUUAUUUCUACAGAGCAGAAUAAAAUCAGUGGAUCUGGGAAAUGGGGGGACCUCAGAGGCCUCUGGUCUAGAGUCUUGUUCCACACACAAGAAUUCUGCUUCCUCCCUCAAGACCCAAGUGGAAGACAGUGCAAACUUUCAAAGUGAGAGCUACCCAAGUUCAAGCUCAACCACUUCUCAGCUGAAUGCAUGACUUCAACAAUCACUCCUUCUCCUGUAGUCCUCCUUCCUACCACUUGAUUCCCUGUUCAUAAACACCACCUCCAAACUGCCAUGGCUGCAAUAUAAAGUUCAAGCUUGUUCCAAUACUCACAAAUUCCCACUGAUCCUGGCCCUUGCUCAAGACUCCUCCUACCACAGUCCACUACAUCUACACUGACCCAUCUGAACAUGGGGAGGCCUGGGAGGCUAUAUCCUGCCUGGGACACACUUCCUCCCAUCCACAGCACCCACUCUUUCUCAUCUUACCUCACCAUCCCUGCUCCUCUGUUCCUAUGUCACCAUUUCUUGGAAACCCUUACUCGCCCUAACAUCCCACCUUGGAAUCAACAGACCCUCCUUCUGUGAGUGACACAUGUUGCUGCACUGAUCUCUUUACAGCCUCAUCCCACUCCCCCAGCAUCCAGCUCCUUAGAGAAGGCCUACAUCUCCUUGUCACCAGUAAGAGACCCUUGUUCUGGGAUGUGCUCAUUGGUAGAGUACAAACCUACCAUGUAGGAAACCCUGAGCUCAAUCCACAGCACUGAGAAAAAAAAGUCCCAUUAAUAAGCAAUACCCAACAUGGCCAAUGACCAUAAUCAGAGCAGAAGAAAUGCAUAUUUUAUUAGCAAAGUAUUCAGCCAGUAUAAAAAGUCUGCUUAUAAAAAGGACAUUCAGUGGAUCCCAGGGUACCAACGUCAUUUCAGUUCUUACAAAAUCAAUGACACAAUGACAUAUGAACCAGUCUGGGAUGUGGAGGAAUGGCACAAUGCAGGAAGGGCCUCUCUUCAGGCCAUUGCUUCUCACCAUUGGGACUGUGUCCCAGCAAACCCUCUUCUGCAUUGAUUAGAUUCAGUCCUUUUGGUAGCUCCUAGUCAUACCACAGCUACUGGCUGUGUUUUACUGAAGAUCCAGUGUCUCCAGAGUCCCUGAGUACCAUUUGUUAAGACCUAGGUAAAAUAUUAAGGCCUAGAUGGAAUGUUAAGGCCUAGGUAACCGUUACCUGGCUAGCCUGGUAAUAGAACUGCUUUGUAUAGUUACCCACAAUAAACUUAGACCCAAACCAACCUCCCAGAAGUACUUCCUGCACCUGUGUAUAAGCCUUUAUGGUAUUUGUUUUUAUAAGGUGCCCCUAGGAUGAACCUCAGUGUAAGAGAGACUUCUGCACCGAUAUAAGAAACUCUUUGAAAUAAGACUUCCAUUUUGAGUAAGGGUCGAGUAAAGUUUAAGUUCCCAAGACCUCCUUCUACUUGGCAGAAAGAGACAUCUGUGGGUAACUGACACCCUGGUUGGCAAGUUAAGACAUGAGUGUUAGACAAGGCAAGCCCCCUGCCAAAGAUGAAUUUUCCAACCAAUGGGAACAGGAUAAGUGUACAACAAAUUCAUGUUCCUAAGGAAACCCCCUAGCCCUAAAGCUUGAUUGGUGGAAUAAUUUGCCACAGAUGUUUGUAGAUCUUGACUCAACGUCACAACCAGCUUCUGGGUCUGGGUUUGUGACGCUGACUGAUCAACCCUACCUGAGGUGUAUGCUCAAUAAACUAUCUCUGUCUGACUG